AUCACUACAAAAACAUUGCAAAAGAGUGUACCCAGACGCAUGGCAGAGGGAAGGACUGUACCUUCUAAAAAGAAAAUGGGAAAGGAAGAAUUUGGUGCUAUAAGCUUAAGACAUAUAGGUUGACUUGCAACCUGGAUGGUUUUUGCUGGAAUCUUCACUGAAAAUUUGUUUGAGCAUGAUGAAACGAAUGGUUUGUUUCCCCAAGAGCAGAAAGGAUGCUGAAGAUGUGAUGCACUGGCAAAGAACGCCUGAUAGAAGAUGGAGCUAUACUUACAGCUCCCAGAAGUAAUGCUAGAUUUUCUUCCUCUUCAGAUCUAGAGACAGCCUCUGCGACACAAAUAUGCCAAAGCCAUGCACAUUCUCCUCCAGAAGUAAAUAAAACAAGAGCUGAAAAGAGCCUGAAGAACAGGACAGCAGCACCCGCAGCUUCUCACAGAUACUACCCACCCCUCAGCUCUCCUAGCAGGGAAGCGGGGCUUCAACCAGCCCAGCCAUUUUUGCCAGGUUAUCUCAGAUCACGAAUUUGGCAUAAG
rnacentral:lncRNA from 1 species